AGCGCGUUUUCUGAGCAAUAGAACUGUCCUUGUUAUUGCACCACAAGCAUAACCGUUUUCCCCCUUUUGGAGCUAGCAAUUACCUUAUGUCGAGUUGACGAGAAAUGUUACUAUUACCAUACCUAAUCAUCCUUUUUCAUCAAGAAUUAGUCCAGUAUACCGGUGGAUCACUACUCCAAUCUUCCCUGGGCUCAUUUUCGAGCUUUGGAACAUAUUUGUAACAUCUGAGGAUCUUCACUCGCUGUCCAAAUCAGUGGUGAUCAUGUUAUCUCAACUUCUUUUCAUCCUACUCG